rnacentral:rRNA from 1 species
UACGGAGGGUGCAAGCAUUAAUCGGAUUCAUUGGGCGUAAAGGGCGCGUAGGCGGGAAGGAAAGUUAUGUGUGAAAGCCUGAGGCUUAACCUCAGAACCGCACCUAAAACUUCUUUUCUAGAGGAUGAGCGGAGAAAAUGGAAUUCCACAUGUAGCGGUGAAAUGCGUAGAUAUGUGGAGGAACACCGGUGGCGAAGGCGAUUUUCUAGCUUAGACCUGACGCUGAGGCGCGAAAGCAAGGGGAGCAAACAGG